GUUCAGACCUGUGCUCUUCCGACCAUUUUUAAUGAUCUCGGAUGACCAAACCAGCCUUCGGAGCGUUCUCUGUCCUACUUCUGACUUUACUUGUGGUGUGGCCAUGUUCAUUAUAAUCUCAAAGGAGAAAAAAAACCCUGUAAAAAAAGCAAAAACAACAACAAAAAAAACAAUUUUAUUCCGAGCAUUCCAGUAACUUUUUUUGUGUAUGAACUUAGCUGUACUAUAAGUAGUUGGUU